rnacentral:rRNA from 1 species
CCUACGGGAGGCUGCAGUGGGGAAUAUUGCACAAUGGGGGAAACCCUGAUGCAGCAACGCCGCGUGAGCGAAGAAGGCCUUCGGGUCGUAAAGCUCUGUCCUAAGGGAAGAAAAAUGACGGUACCUUAGGAGGAAGCCCCGGCUAACUACGUGCCAGCAGCCGCGGUAAUACGUAGGGGGCGAGCGUUAUCCGGAAUCACUGGGCGUAAAGGGUGCGUAGGCGGCCAAUUAAGCCCGGGGGGAAAGGCUACGGCUCAACCGUAGUAAGCCCGUGGAACUGAGUGGCUUGAGUGCAGGAGAGGGGAGUGGAAUUCGUAGUGUGGCGGUGAAAGGCGUAGAGAUGAGGAGGAACACCAGUGGCGAGGGGGACGCUCUGGACUGUAACGGACGCUGGGGGACGAAAGGGUGGGGAGGAAACGGGAUGAGAUACCCUUGUAGUG